rnacentral:rRNA from 1 species
UCGAGAAUCUUUUGCAAUGGGCGCAAGCCUGACAAAGCGACGCCGUGUGAGCGAUGAAGGCCUUCGGGUUGUAAAGCUCUUUCGCAAGGGAGCAAGGGAGGGAGAAUAACACUCUCCUAACUUGAGAGUACUUUGUAAAGAAGCACCGGCUAACUCCGUGCCAGCAGCUGCGGUAAUACGGAGGGUGCAAGCAUUAAUCGGAUUUACUGGGCGUAAAGGGUGCGCAGGCGGUUUGGCAAGUCAGGUGUGAAAUUCCGGUACUCAAUAUCGGAGCGGCACUUGAAACUACCUUACUAGAGUGUAGGCGGAGAAAACGGAAUUCCAUAUGUAGCGGUGAAAUGCGUAGAUAUAUGGAAGAACACCUGUGGCGAAAGCGGUUUUCUAGCUUAUUACUGACGCU